rnacentral:rRNA from 1 species
UACGGAGGGGGCAAGCGUUGUUCGGAUUUACUGGGCGUAAAGGGUGUGUAGGCGGCUGGAUAAGUCUGGUGUGAAAUCUUCACCGCUCAACGGGAAGGGGUCACUGGAAACUGUUCAGCUUGAGUAUGGUAGAGGCAAGCGGAAUUCCUGGUGUAGCGGUGGAAUGUGUAGAUAUCAAGAGGAACACCUGCGGCGAAGGCGGGUUGCUGGGCCGACACUGACGCUGAGGAGCGAAAGCGUGGGGAGCGAACAGG